CUUACAAUCAAAUGGCUGAAUAAGCUUAGUAAGUUCUCAAGCUUUCUCAUAUAUAUAUACACCAGAAGAAUCAUGAACUUGUCCUCUGCUGAAACCUAGUAGUUCAGUGAUUGAUCUACCUGUGAGGGCUGAUAAAUUAAUUUAAAUAGUUGGAACUAGUUCAAAGCAAUGCACACGAACACUCUCUUAGGCCACACGUACACAAGACUCUGAACAACACAAGGAAUUCUAGUCCCCAAAACAGACCUCUCUGAACAACACAAGGAAUUCUAGUCCCCAAAACAGACCUCUCAAACACAUGGCCAUGUACAUGGCCAUCCCAACAGGCCACGUGCCAAGUUCCACGCUCGCAUUCACUUCAAAGAACAGGGAACAGAGACGCAAAGGGACGGCCGGCAAACAACUGAAUCCAGCCUUGGCACUGGACUUAUUUCAUCAAUACUCAUCAACCA
rnacentral:lncRNA from 1 species